AUGGUCAGUUGGGAAGGCCCUGCAACAAUGAUUCCCUUGCCGUCCAGCCACUCCAGCGCCACCUACCUCCCCGUCAACCGGCGCCUCCCUCACCGUCCAGCCACUCCAGCUCUGUCUCUCGGUUCACUGUCGCCUACCUCGCCGUCCAGCCACCCUCCAGCUCCGUCUCUCCAUCGACCGACGCCUCCCGUCCAGAUCUGCCUCCCUCGCCGGCCAGCUACCUCGUCCUCGUGUCUCCCUCCCAGUCCAGCGCCUCCUAGUCAAGGAGCAUCUUGCAAGUUCGCGCAAAUUUGCUUUAUCUUCAAAAGGACAAUAAUUGUUAAUCUUAAAUUAAUUGAGACAUAUUGUGAUUCGUUCAUGGUUACAGAAGAAGUACUACAAAGCUUUUCAAGAUGCAUAUCCAGUAGAUUAGAAGGAACUGAGAUUAUGUACUCUGCUGGUGAUGCUAUAAAGAAGCUGGGACGGCUGGAUGGGAAAUACCCGAAGACCUUUGAGCCUUUCAAGAUCAGCUGA
rnacentral:rRNA from 1 species